GAUUAACGCUGGCGGCGUGCCUAACACAUGCAAGUCGAACGAGGUAGCAAUACCUAGUGGCAGACGGGUGAGUAACGCGUGGUCAACCUACCGUUGAGUGGGGAGUAACUAGCGAACGGUAGCUAUACGCAUACGUCUCCGACGUGGCAUCACUUGGCGGAUAAAGGAAGCAAUACCGCUCGAUGACGGGACCGCGUCCCACUUAGCUAGAUGGUGGGGU
rnacentral:rRNA from 1 species